UACGGAGGGGACUAGCGUUGUUCGGAAUUACUGGGCGUAAAGCGCACGUAGGCGGAUUUGUAAGUCAGGGGUGAAAUCCCGGGGCUCAACCUCGGAACUGCCUUUGAUACUGCAAAUCUCGAGUCCGGAAGAGGUGAGUGGAAUUCCGUAGUGUAGAGGUGAAAUUCGUAGAUAUUAGGAAGAACACCAGUGGCGAAGGCGGCUCACUGGUCCGGUACUGACGCUAAGGUGCGAAAGCGUGGGGGAGCAAACAGG
rnacentral:rRNA from 1 species